UGGGGAAUUUUGGACAAUGGGGGAAACCCUGAUCCAGCCAUCCCGCGUGUGCGAUGAAGGCCUUCGGGUUGUAAAGCACUUUUGGCAGGAAAGAAACGUCAUGGGUUAAUACCCCGCGAAACUGACGGUACCUGCAGAAUAAGCACCGGCUAACUACGUGCCAGCAGCCGCGGUAAUACGUAGGGUGCAAGCGUUAAUCGGAAUUACUGGGCGUAAAGCGUGCGCAGGCGGUUCGGAAAGAAAGAUGUGAAAUCCCAGAGCUCAACUUUGGAACUGCAUUUUUAACUACCGGGCUAGAGUGUGUCAGAGGGAGGUGGAAUUCCGCGUGUAGCAGUGAAAUGCGUAGAUAUGCGGAGGAACACCGAUGGCGAAGGCAGCCUCCUGGGAUAACACUGACGCUCAUGCACGAAAGCGUGGGGAGCAAACAGG
rnacentral:rRNA from 1 species